UACAGAGGUCUCAAGCGUUGUUCGGAUUCAUUGGGCGUAAAGGGUGUGUAGGUGGCUCGCUAAGUCGGGUGUGAAAUUUCGGAGCUUAACUCCGAAACUGCAUUCGAUACUGGCGUGCUUGAGGACUGGAGAGGAGACUGGAAUUCAUGGUGUAGCAGUGAAAUGCGUAGAGAUCAUGAGGAAGACCAGUGGCGAAGGCGGGGCUCUGGACAGUUCCUGACACUGAGACACGAAGGCCAGGGGAGCAAACGGG
rnacentral:rRNA from 1 species